AUUUCGUAGCCUGUCCCGUCGAUAUGUUUAUCAAAUAAAUGCAUCAAACCUUUCUGUACAAUAACGACACAACUUUGUACACCCAGUACUUGAAACAAACCAGAAAACAUAUGCUUGAGUGUCCAAAAUGGAAGACGAACUGCGUGUUAGCGGUCAGUAAUGGUAACUCCAUAACUUCACAUACCAUAUAGUAAAAAUAAAAGUAAAGCAGCUGAAAUACUGCAUGUAGAACAGAUGAGAGCCUUGUCUAAGUUCAAAUUACCGAAUUUGGCGC